rnacentral:tRNA from 1 species
GGAUCAGACUGUAAAUCUGACGGCUCAGCCUUCGAAGGUUCGAAUCCUUCUCCCUCCACCA